rnacentral:rRNA from 1 species
GACGAACGCUGGCGGCGUGCUUAACACAUGCAAGUCGAGCGGAAAGGCCCCUUCGGGGGUACUCGAGCGGCGAACGGGUGAGUAACACGUGGGUAAUCAACCCCUGACAUCGGGAUACCCCGGGGAAACCCGGAUCAAUACCGGAUAAGGUGCGGAGGCGCAGGCCGCCGUACCAAAGGUAGCUUCGGCUUCCGGUCAGGGACGAGCCCGCGGCCCAUUAGCUUGUUGGUGGGGUAACGGCCCACCAAGGCGACGAUGGGUAGCUGGUCUGAGAGGACGAUCAGCCACACUGGGACUGAGACACGGCCCAGACUCCUACGGGAGGCAGCAGUGGGGAAUAUUGCACAAUGGGCGCAAGCCUGAUGCAGCGACGCCGCGUGAGGGAUGACGGCCUUCGGGUUGUAAACCUCUUUCAGCACCGACGAAGCGCAAGUGACGGUAGGUGCAGAAGAAGGACCGGCCAACUACGUGCCAGCAGCCGCGGUAA